AAGAUAUGGUCGAGUGACCCGUCGAGAGGCGGGUGCAACUCAGGAACGUCCGUAGGUGAACCUGCGGAAGGAUCAUU
rnacentral:rRNA from 1 species